AGAAUCAACGCUGGCGGCGUGCCUAACACAUGCAAGUCGCACGAGAAAGUGGAGCGAUCCAUGAGUAAAGUGGCGCACGGGUGAGUAACACGUGAAUGAUCUACCUCCGAGUGGGGAAUAACUGAGAGAAAUCUUAGCUAAUACCGCAUAAUACCCACGGGUCAAAGCAGUAAUGCGCUUGGAGAGGAGUUCGCGGCCGAUUAGUUAGUUGGCGGGGUAAUGGCCCACCAAGACGAUGAUCGGUA
rnacentral:rRNA from 1 species